rnacentral:tRNA from 1 species
GCCAGCGUGGUGUAGUGCUUUGAGCACUGGGCUACAACUCUGGAGAUCAGGGUUCGAGUCCCUGCUUGGCC